UUCCUAAAUGGCUUUGGCCGUCACAGUAAU
rnacentral:piRNA from 1 species